UACGAAGGGGGCUAGCGUUGCUCGGAAUGACUGGGCGUAAAGGGCUCGUAGGCGGUUUGUCGCGUCGGGAGUGAAAAUCCAGGGCUUAACUCUGGACUGGCUUCCGAUACGGGCAGACUAGAGGUAUGCAGGGGAGAACGGAAUUCCUGGUGUAGCGGUGAAAUGCGCAGAUAUCAGGAGGAACACCGGUGGCGAAGGCGGAUCUCUGGGCCAUUACUGACGCUGAGGAGCGAAAGCGUGGGGAGCGAACAGG
rnacentral:rRNA from 1 species